AUCCGUCUGACGAGUCCCAAACUGGAUGGAACACUCGUCCUGGAU
rfam:Schistosoma curassoni strain Dakar, Senegal genome assembly, scaffold: SCTD_scaffold0000087